CCUGAUCUUCACACUGGAAACAUAAGUGUUGGCAUUACGUUUGAUUUCACAGCACUGUUUACAGCAGAGGCAAACUUCAAGUCAACCUGCUAUGGACGAUAAGGCCCUUCCUCCAGGGCGCCAUUGCGUGAGGGGCGACUCACUCCCUCCAUCCUCUGGUCCAGGAUCUGUGUGACUCUCUGCUGGAGCUGGCUCCUCUGUCCUCACGUCAACCCUGCUAUGCUCCACGGGCAGGAGGCAGGCCAACAAUGCAGACGAUCCCCAGUGGAGGAGUCGCAGAAGGUGUUUUUGUUCCACUGAGUGCUUCUUUGUGAAGACAAAAGACUGGGGUUGUCUUUCAAAUGCACCACAUCGCCACCCAUCCUGCCCCAAGUGAUGCUGAAAACCAUUCCAGGCAUUUAUUUCUUCCAGCCUGCAUGAGUACGAUGGCAUUUUUGUGGGGUCUCCAGACAAUUUACUUAAAAAUGUUCAGCUGAUUCCGAAUUCUGCAGCCAAUCUACAGUCAGGCACAAAAAUAAAAUCCUCUUCAUUGCAUAGAAAGCUCUUAAUGAGCUGAAAUAUGUUAUUGUUCCUUAUAACUCCACAAGAAGAGUUUAUUCUUAAAGCACGGGCUCACUUAUGCUACUUCUGAAUUUCCUAGUCAAGGAGGAGGAGGCUUCAGUUUUCAGCUUAAUUCCUGGCCAAGCUGUCAGGAGAGCUCAUGUUUCUGCUUUUAGUCCUUAAAAACACCCAAUGUAUCCAUUAUGAUUAAAACUAAUAAUAAAACAUACUGAUGUGAUUCGUGGAACUGCAGGCAAUAAAAUCUUUCUAUAAAAGCUAAAGUGUGCCUUACUGUUGUAGAAAGACUUCCCAAUAAGGUUUAAGAGAUAUGCACAUUUAGAUGCAGAGAAAAAACACAGUAUCGGGAGCGUAACGUCUCCGAGUCAUAAACCUAGAAAUAUAAACCUUUGCAAUCUGACUUGAUUUAAGUUAACCAAUUAAAAAGCAACAAUCAGGGGAAAAAAAAGAAAGUGAACCCUGUUCUUUGUAAAGUCAGAAGCACACAGGCUCCAACACAAAGUACAGGAACAUCCCUGAGGCAGCACCUGUUGUUAUUUAAUCAUCUUUCAUUAUGGAGCUCUGAUGCAGUCAUUUCCUAUUAUGUUUAUUUCUGGUGUUUUUCCUGAGUCUGCAGCUCUGCUGUCAGAAAAUGAGGUUUACAAAUGCGUGGGAAAAAAAUUCCUUACAUGAAAAAAAGUUGUGAAAACCAACUCACUACAGAUUAUGUCUGUGUAUAGAACAUUAAUAACACAAUUAUGCAUACUUCUUGUGUAACACAUACCCAAUACCCCAGGGUGAGACUGGGUUAUUAGGUAUGUGGUGCCAUCUUAAAGUUUGGGACUGUAACUAAUUCACUGCUUUGCAGUAUUCGUUCUUUUUUUAAAGUUUUGUCAGGUUACAGUGAAAACAUUUGUGGGAUUUUAUUGGAAUAGACCAACACAAAGUGAUGCAUACUUGAAUAUGCAUACUCUGAACGGUGUGCGGUGCAUUUGUACAUAGAACCACGAGUCAAUAGUCUUUUGUCGUAUGUCUCUACAGACUUUGCACAUCCACAGACAAGACUGCUGCCCAAACUCAGUCACACUGGAUACAGUGACUCCAUGUUUAGGAUCGACCUGCUGGAAGGUGAAACUCUGCCCCAGUCUUGAGCCUUUUGGAGCUUCUAACAGCUUGUCUUGCAGGAUUAUUAACCUUCAUCCAUCUUUCCAUCAACAUUGACCAUAUUUCCUGCCUCAACAGAAGAACUACUCCCAUGGUAUGAUGCAGCCAUCGUCAGGGUGGUUCGUUCAGUGCGAUGUGCAGUGCUAGUUUUCUGCCAGACACAGUUUUGCAUCUUCCUGUCUCUCUUCAAUAAAGGGCUGAUUAAAGGAGUGCACAAUUAGGAGUUGUCUUGUCAACAGACUGUCCCAGCUAAACUGUGGAACUCUGCGGCUCCUCCAGAGUUACCAUGGGCCUUCUGGCUGCUCCUACGAUUAAUGCUCUCCUUAUCUGGCCUGUUAGUUUAGGCGAAUCGUUACUCUCGAUGAUAAACUGAGGAGCGCUCCAUGAUAUGUUUAAAGCUCAGGAUAUUGUUUUUUAAAAUCCUCACCCUAAAAACUUCUCCACAACCUGAUCUCUGAUGUCUCCAGGGCUUUUCCUGGUCUUCAUGAUUUUAUUUGCUGUUCUCUAACAAACGUCUUUGGCCUACACAGAAUUACACACAGGUGGACGGACGUCGGUAAUUAGGUGAUUUCUGAGUUUGUAUGGUGCAGAGUAAUAGGGGCUAAAUAUUUACGCAGGCCACACCUUUCCGAUUUCUACUUGUAAAAAUCUUGAAAAACCUGCUUUGUGUUUGAUUAUCACUCAAAUUUCCAAUAAAAUACACAGAAGUUUGUGAUUACAACAUGCGAAAUGUAAAAAGGUUCAUGAACAGGUUGCAGGACCCUGUGACUCACACUGGGAAUCCCCAUGAAGACCAUG